UACAGAGGUCCCGAGCGUUGUUCGGAUUCACUGGGCGUAAAGGGUGCGCAGGUGGGUUUGCAAGUUUGAUGUGAAAGCCCCGGGCUUAACCCGGGAAUGGCAUUGAAUACUGCAGAUCUGGAGGAUUGGAGGGGGGACUGGAAUUCUUGGUGUAGCAGUGAAAUGCGUAGAUAUCAAGAGGAACACCAGUGGCGAAGGCGAGUCCCUGGACAAUACCUGACAUGAGGCACGAAAGCCAAGGGAGCAAACAGG
rnacentral:rRNA from 1 species